rnacentral:tRNA from 1 species
UGAGGUGUAGCCAAGCGGUAAGGCACAGGACUUUGACUCCUGCAUUCGUCAGUUCAAAUCUGACCAUCUCAGCCA